GACGUAGGUGGCGAACGUUAUCCGGAAUCAUUGGGCGUAAAGGGUGCGUAGAUGGCCUGAUAAGUUAGCAGUGGGAAAUCGAGGCUCAACCUCGUGGAAGCUGGUAAUACUGUCAGGCUCGAGUGCAGGAGAGGUUAACGGAACUCCAUGUGGAGCGGUAAAAUGUGUAGAUAUAUGGAAGAACAUCAAUAACGGCGAAGGCAGUUAACUAUUCUGUUACUGACGUUGAGGCACGAAAGCGUGGGAGCAAAACGG
rnacentral:rRNA from 1 species